GCAAGUCGAACGGCAGCAUAGGAACUUGUUCCUGAUGGCGAGUGGCGGACGGGUGAGUAAAGUGUAGGAAUCAACCUAUAAGUUCGGGACAACUUGGGGAAACUCAAGCUAAUACCGGAUGUGUCUUACGAGGUAAAGCAGGGGAUCUUCGGACCUUGCGCUUAUAGACGAGCCUACAUCAGAUUAGCUAGUUGGUAGGGUAAAGGCCUACCAAGGCGACGAUCUGUAGCUGGUCUGAGAGGAUGAUC
rnacentral:rRNA from 1 species